CGGAAGACGAAGCCCGGGAUGCUCCCUGGCGCGGGCGCUGCCUCCUGGCGAGACUGAGAAAGAAGGGGGAGAGCCGUGUGAGACUACCAAUUUCUCAUGUCUUCACAAUGAGACAGGCCUGGGGUCAUUUCUUCCCUAUACCUCGCAGUUGAUAGUUUUAGAUGUCGAGGCAAUGCUGGCAUAGAUAUGGCAGAUAGUGUCAAGAUCUUCCUUAAUGAUCUUAUCAGGGGAAUUAAAGAUUCCAUAUGGGGGAUCUGCACAAUCUCCAAGCUGGAUGCUCGGAUCCAGCAAAAAAGGGAAGAGCAGCGAAAAAGAAGAGCAAGUAGUGUGCUUGCCCAACGAAGAGCCCAAAGUGAAGAGAGGAAGCAAGAGAAGUGAGUACCAAGCUUGGGAAUUG